AGCAAAUGCUCUGAAGUCAGCAUAGCACUUUGGACUAUUCUCUAACAGACAGGAGCCAGCCUGGAAGUGUGCUCAGGCCCCACUCAGAGAGGCGGGAGCCAGGCCCAGAGAGGCCAUCCUUGCAGGCUCUGGAGCACCCAAACCCAGCACCAGGGGGCACUCCAGGCCCAGGGUGACCCAGACACCCUUUAGUGACCAAGGGUCCUGCCUUGAACAAGCAAAGCCCACUUGUGUUUUCACCAACAAACACUCGCUGAGCACCUGCCAUGGGCCAGGAUGGUUUGGGUGCUGGACACACAGACAAUGACCCCAUCUU